rnacentral:misc_RNA from 1 species
AACAUAGAUAAACAUUUAGAGUCUCUAAAUUUUGUUUUACCGUGGAAUUUUCACUUAUGUAAGCUUCAAAGGUAGCAUUUGAUAGAGAAUGAAAUUCCUUGAUAGAUUUUAGUUUUCAUCUUCAAUAUAAGAUCUUAUAGUGGAUGCAACACAUAUGAGGAGAAUAUAUGCAUUAGAAACCUUGAUUGCUCAAAUGAAUAAAGCGAUUCUUUUCUGU